rnacentral:tRNA from 1 species
GCCUAGGUAGCUCAGUGGUAAAAGCAAUCGCCUCGGCAAGCGAAAGAUCCGGGUUCAAUUCCCGAUCUAGUCG